UGCAGCCCCUCGCAAAGCCGAAUACAGCACAGAAUGUUGGCCAAUCUGCCGCUGAUAGAUACAUCGAAAUUCUUCAGACUCUGCCAAUGGUUUUUUAGGAUUCGGAGCUUCCUCAGGAGAUUCUAACGGAAAGCACACAAAUUCCAGCUAUGAAUUGGUACGUAAGGAAUGGACAUGAAAUGCACUAAUAUUCGAGGGGCGCAUACAAAAUUUGGUUCUAUCCUGCAAAGAUUCAAAACAUUGAAAAUCAUUUUGAUAUUCUGGAUACGUUUCCUUCAGUAAAUAGUAGAACAAUAUUCAGAAGGAAUCUUAACUAUCGAACAAAUAAAAAUCCAAUAUGAAAUCAUCGAAAAACAUGAUGCUACUGAAAAAUUGAAUAAAUUCUGUUGCGCAAUAUUUUA